UUCCAGUGUAGUCGCUGUAAACAUCCUACACUCAGCUGUGAGCUGCAGACGAGGCUGGGCGGAGGGUGUUUGCUGUGACUGUCUGGAG
ensembl:miRNA dre-mir-30b microRNA 30b